CCUACGGGUGGCUGCAGUGGGGAAUAUUGCACAAUGGGCGAAAGCCUGAUGCAGCAACGCCGCGUGAAGGAAGAAGGGUUUCGGCUCGUAAACUUCUAUCAACAGGGACGCAAGAACUGACGGUACCUGAAUAACAAGCCCCGGCUCACUACGUGCCAGCAGCCGCGGGCAUACGUAGGGGGCAAACGUUAUCCGGAAUUACUGGGUGUAAAGGGUGAGUAGGCGGCAUGGUAAGCCAGAUGUGAAAGCCUUGGGCCUAACACGAGGAUUGCAUUUGGAACUAGCAAGCGAGAGUACAGGAGAAGAAAGCGGAAUUCCUAGUGUAGCGGUGAAAUGCGUAGAUAUUAGGAAGAACACCAGUGGCGAAGGCGGCUUUCUGGACUGAAACUGACGCUGAGGCACGAAAGCGUGGGGAGCGAACAGGAUUAGAUACCCGUGUAGUC
rnacentral:rRNA from 1 species